rnacentral:tRNA from 4 species
GGCCCCGUAGCUCAGCUGGAUAGAGCGUCCCCCUCCUAAGGGGAAGGUCAGUGGUUCGAAUCCACUCGGGGUCACCA